GAUGAACGCUAGCGGCAGGCCUAAUACAUGCAAGUCGAGGGGUAGAAGAGGCUUGCUUCUUUGAGACCGGCGCACGGGUGCGUAACGCGUAUGCAACCUACCUUCAUCUGGGGGAUAGCCCGGAGGAAUCCGGAUUAAUACCGCAUAAAAUCACAGGAUGGCAUUAUCCAAUGAUCAAACAUUUAUGGGAUGGAGAUGGGCAUGCGUGUCAUUAGCUAGUUGGCGGGGUAACGGCCCACCAAGGCGACGAUGACUAGGGGAUCUGAGAGGAUGGCCCCCCACAAUGGUACGGAGACACGGACCAGACUCCUACGGGAGGCAGCAGUAAGGAAUAUUGGUCAAUGGAGGCAACUCUGAACCAGCCAUGCCGCGGGCAGGAAGACUGCCCUAUGGGUUGUAAACUGCUUUAUUCGGGAAUAAACCUUAUUACGUGUAAUAAGCUGAAUGUACCGAAGGAAUAAGGAUCGGCUAAUUCCGUGCCAGCAGCCGCCGUAA
rnacentral:rRNA from 1 species